CAUGCAAGUCGAGGGGCAGCAUGAACUUAGCUUGCUAAGUUUGAUGGCGACCGGCGCACGGGUGAGUAACACGUAUCCAACCUGCCGAUGACUCGGGGAUAGCCUUUCGAAAGAAAGAUUAAUACCCGAUGGCAUAGUUCUUCCGCAUGGUGGAACUAUUAAAGAAUUUCGGUCAUCGAUGGGGAUGCGUUCCAUUAGGUUGUUGGCGGGGUAACGGCCCACCAAGCCUUCGAUGGAUAGGGGUUCUGAGAGGAAGGUCCCCCACAUUGGAACUGAGACACGGUCCAAACUCCUACGGGAGGCAGCAGUGAGGAAUAUUGGUCAAUGGACGAGAGUCUGAACCAGCCAAGUAGCGUGAAGGAUGACUGCCCUAUGGGUUGUAAACUUCUUUUAUACGGGAAUAAAGUGAGGCACGUGUGCCUUUUUGUAUGUACCGUAUGAAUAAGGAUCGGCUAACUCCGUGCCAGCAGCCGCGGUAAUACGGAGGAUCCGAGCGUUAUCCGGAUUUAUUGGGUUUAAAGGGAGCGUAGGCGGACGCUUAAGUCAGUUGUGAAAGUUUGCGGCUCAACCGUAAAAUUGCAGUUGAUACUGGGUGUCUUGAGUACAGUAGAGGCAGGCGGAAUUCGUGGUGUAGCGGUGAAAUGCUUAGAUAUCACGAAGAACUCCGAUUGCGAAGGCAGCUUGCUGGACUGUAACUGACGCUGAUGCUCGAAAGUGUGGGUAUCAAACAGGAUUAGAUACCCUGGUAGUCCACACAGUAAACGAUGAAUACUCGCUGUUUGCGAUAUACAGUAAGCGGCCAAGCGAAAGCGUUAAGUAUUCCACCUGGGGAGUACGCCGGCACGGUGAAACUCAAAGGAAUUGACGGGGGCCCGCACAAGCGGAGGAACAUGUGGUUUAAUU
rnacentral:rRNA from 1 species